CCCAGCUGUGAGGACCAUGGGGCCGCUAGCUGAGCUCGCCCUCCGCACGGAGGGACCCGGCUCGCCGUGGCUUUGAUGCCUGUGUUCGUUUUCUGUUGCUGCUGUAAUGGAUCCUGAGGAACUGAGGCCCUUGGUCAAACAGCCCACAAGAAACUACAUGAGUGAGCAUCAAACCCACCCCAGUGGAGCCCCAAGAUGCCUGCAGGCGUGCAAGACUAAGAAGAGGACCGGCUGAGCUGCACCCACAUUUCUGACCUGCAGAGACUAUGAGACCAUUCGCAUCACCACUCCUUCAAGCCAAGAAAUCAAACAGCUUGCGCAUCAUAGGCACUCAGAGAAUGGUCAAGCUAAAAGAAAUCCAUGGAAGGCAGUGUGGGGUGACUUGCAAAGGGGGACUUCCUGAUCUGGGCAGCUCCGUGGAGUCGGUGAGAUUUUAGAGAUGGGAAGGGCCUGGCUGCAAACAUCGGAACACUUACUUUCACAGCCACGGGGAUGAGGUGAUCUGGCUGUGGUCCAUGGGCGAGUCCCGAAGCCUGAGACAAGACUGCAUUUGAUCCAACCAGGUCAGCUUUAGGGAAGAGCAGCCUUUCUAGAAAUGACUGGUCGGCAAGACUUCCGUGAGGCCUCCACGCCUUCCCCAAGUGUCCAGGGAGCUCUCCCAGCCCCCGGACUUUCCCAGCUUCCGAAGAAAGCUGCAGUCUGGAGGCCGUGGCCAGUCUCCGGAUGCUGUCAUUCUCCAGGAAGGCAGGAUUGGCACGUGCUUUGUACACUUGGGCCACGCAGCCGGAACCCACAGGCUCCUGCUUCUCAAAGCAAAGGACCCUCCCCCAGUCCUCUCCGAAGGCCUGCCGUAGGAAGUGUUCAGUGUGGGUCCAAGGAUGGGGCGUUACCUGGACGUGCAGCUUGGAGAACUGAGCACAGAAAGCCUCUGAGAAGAGAUCACGCCGGGUGCUGGCCCACUGGCCGAGUUUGAUGUACGUUGGACCGGAGGUCUCGGUGGCUUUCAGAAGCAGGUGGAGCCAGAGCCUGGAGACACUGGGAGCCAGGUAGGUGAGGGGGUAGAGUAGAAGGAGGGGGAAGAAUUUCACCAAGAGCGCCCCCGCCCGGAGCCAGAUCCGCAAGUGCAGAAGGAGGCAGCCUAGCCGCCGCUCCGGGGGGACUCUCUCCAGUGGCCCGUUUUCAGCCAGGUCACUCCAACUGGUCCUUUGCCGACACAAGCUCUCCGGGGCCCCCUUGCCAAUGUCCUCAGAGGCUGAGAUGAGUUUGGGCAAAGUGCCAAGCAGAAGCCAACAAAGUCUAGCCUUGCGACA